AUCGAUUUAUUAAACUUGUCUUCGAAAAUGUUUUUUUCUCUCUAUUUAAAUUUAAGAGUUAAUAUAAUUGGUUAAAGUUUUGUGAGGUUGCAUUAGAUUAUUUCGUUAGUUUUUUACAUUGGACAAAGAGAGUAGCCAAUUACCACACAGUCUCAAUUCAACUAACUUAAACAAGAAACAAAAUAAUCCUAAUGAAAUGUUGAAUAUAUAAUUGUUACGGUUAUAAUACUGGUUUCUUUAUAUUUGAUCAUUUUCUUUACAAAAUAACAUGCGAGAGUUUACUCACUGAAUAGUGAAUAGUAAAAUGAAAAAGUAGAAUGAUCUCAUAAUAACAAAAAACAUAAAAGGAUAACAAGAUCUACUUGGUUAAAGUUAAAGGUAUGAAGAAAGUUUGGCCCAUACUACAAACAUAUCAAACAAGAUAGUAGUGUAUGUGUAUUGGUGAAUAGGUUUGAGUAAUUCUCUCUAUAUCUUAGCACUAUAAGUUGCAAUAGUUAUAGAGUAGCAUAUUAUAUGAUUGCCACUCAAACUAAUACACCUCCAAUUCAUAUAGACCAAAGUUUUGGAGUUGUAUAUACAGUUAGUUAAUAAGGUCCCACGUGGAGAGUGAUGAAUCUUGAAAUGUAAAUCAUUAUGUGAUGGAUAUAUGAUGUUAACAAGAAAAACAUCAUGCUAUUAUUAAGAUAAUUAUGUUUUGUUCACAAGAGAAACCAUAUACAAGAGGUACGUUAUAUAUACACUAUGCCUAGUCUGCAUGCAAGUUUCUUUAGCAUUUAAUUCAGUUUCUUACAAAGAAGUUUUGUAACUGAAGUAAUAAGAUAAAUCAACAGCAUUAUUCUAAGGAAUGAUGGAGUAAGAAGAUGAACACACUUGAUCUAUUGUUCAGGGAAUCAUCAACUGGAGAAAUCAUUAGGCUCGGGUGGAGAAUUUUCUGCCUUGAUAUAAUUGUGUUGUUUUUUUUUUUUUGCAAAAAAAUUUCGAUAUAAUUGUGUUGUUCCAAAAAGAAACUAUAUAUACGUCCAAACCAAUAUCAAUAUAAACAAAAUACAUUAUCAUUAUUUUUUUGGUAUAUGCUGAUUUUAUACUUGCGUUUGGUAUAAAUAAACUGUAUAACCACUAACGAACCGAGCAAUUGAAACGGUAGAGACAAAAAAACACACACUUAAGUAGUCAACUAAUUAGAUGAUUAAGCUAAAAUGACAUUUUGCUAAAACCCGAGUUUCUUAUAUUACACGAUAAGAAUAUAAAAGGGGGCGAAAACGCGAGACCUUUAUAAGAAGAAAAAAAAACUGUUCACUUAUCAAAGUUGAAUUCAAAAGCCCCUUUCUUUCUUUCUUCUUCCUUCUCCAUUCGUUCUCGUGGGAGUGGACUCCUUCUGGGUUUUCUUUGUAAAAUCGAUCUACCUCUGGUGUGUAAAAAUGGACGAAAAGAUAGAAACUUCAUCUGGGCCUUCGUCGCAACCGCCAUCGAUUCCUGGGCUUUCCGGCGAGAAGCGCGGUAACGAAGAUGGUUCCGAAGAGAAAGAUGAAUCAGACGUUUGUUUUGGCUAAAGAUGAUGAUAGAUUGGUUACUAACGCUUUGCCCGAGACUCGUACCGUGAAAGAUGUUACUAACUGUGAGACACGAGGAGGAUUACACGUUGAUGAGGUUACUGAAUCCGUUGUUGUUAUCCCACGUGACGCUUCCCUUUCACAUCCUUAUCAAAUGUCAAGCGCACUGAGUCUAUACGGCAGUGGAUGGAAAUGAAGCGGAACGGUUAUCUCUCAGGCCCUUUGGGCGGACAUGUGGCGUCGAGGCAUGUUGAUUCUUCAAACAAGACAAACCAAGUCCCUAAUAAGAAGAAGGACCAGCAUGUUGUUGCUACCGCGCCGCCAAGUCGAUUGCUGGCGGGGUUGAAACCGGGGAUCAUUAAACAUGUCAGGAGUAAAGAAGAGGUCUACUCAUCUCUUGAAGCUUUGAUUCGAGAUUCAGCUAGAGAAGAUAGGGCGUUAGACUCUAAGGUAUCAGAUCAUGCAAUUUCCUUGACAAACACGGAACAAGCCAAGUUGCUUGCUGUUGAAGGUUGGUAGUGCAUUUGAUCAUGUUUCAGUUCUUCUAAAUAAAAGCAGUUAAGAUUACUGAUUAAAGUUAAUCUGGAAGCUGAAGGAUAAAUGUUAGUGUACAUUAUUGCAUGAUGAUGAUUAGCUCAUUGUAGAAGUGGAAACAGGAAUGAAAUGAUUAAAAAGGCAAAAAAAAAAUGUUUAUUUCCUUUUUUUAGCUGCUACUGUUACCAAUAAAAAACAGUUUAGGUUUGUUUAAAAAGGAAAGAAAUUGUUUAUUUCUUUUUUUAGCUGCUAGUGUAGCUUCACAGUGGUUGGAGUUUCUUCACCAAGACCUCAGUGAACGCCUUUCAGGUGCGUCUUUGUAGAAAUGUAGCAGAGAGGCUUCUCAAGUUGACUGAGACCUUAUGAUGAUGUUGUUGCAGCUGUGAAGGAUAGUAGGAAGAGAGUUGAUGAUACUUUGAAGGCGGAGUUGCCACUUCUCGUCUCAUCAUCAAAAGAAUCUUCUUCUAACCAAGAAAGUACCUCUGGUGAUGAAACAGUAACAAAGGCGCAUAAGAUAAAGUGGUCUGCGAAAUUUGAUGAGUUUAAGAAACGUCUCAAUGAUGAAGAGAAAGAUCUUGUGCGUAUAUACAUUAUCUACUGCGUUUUCAAGUCCGAAUGGUUCUUCAGCUCAAGUCGGUGUUUUAAUUUAUUUGAAAUUCGUAGGAAAGCACGUUAAACCACGUGAAGGAUAUGCAGUCACGAUGCAGCGAAGGUUUACGCCAGAUGAAUGAGGCAAGGUGAGGAAAAUUAAGACCAAACAGAAGCGUUUUAAAAAGACAUGGUUUAGUCACCUUUAAUUGUUCUACAAAUACCAUUUGCAGUUGUGGGAAAGAUGGCGAGACUAAUUUGGCGGCUGCAGCUUCCAUUUUCUCGACCUGCCGUUAUCUUCUGUCAAAGAUGAAGCCACCACCUAACAGUUCGUAACCCCUCUUGUUUUUUAUUAACCGGGGAUCGACUAAUAGUGUAAAUAACAGGCGAUUGAUAGUUUUGUCAUUGGUUAACUAACAUUAGAAGAGAUCCUUUGUCACUGGCAUUUGCUUCAGUACACACUAGACUUUUUAAUAUACACUAGACUUUGACCCGU